UUCAAAACGUACCAGAAAAAUCACUCAAACUCCCUCCCACCUUCCGCUCCUCUCGACGCUGCCCGCUAAACCACCGUCUCCCUCUCCCUCCCAUGGCCGCGCCCGCCCUCCUCUCCCUCUCCCCCGCCGUCUCCAGGCACCCCCACCUCCUCUUCUCCCACACCCACUCGCCUCGCCACCUCCGCCUCACCCCUCUCGCCGCCUCCUCCUCCCCCUCCCCCUCCCCCUCGCCGGCCGGCGGCGGCGGCGGCGUCUUCCUCUCGCCGAGCGCGCUCUCGCAGCUCGACGCGCUCGCCGCCUUCCGCUACGAGCACACCUUCCCCCACGGCAGCCUCACAGUGCGGGCCCUCACCCCGACCGACGACGCCGAGGCCGAGGUGCUCGUCCGCCUCCUCGCUUCCUCCUUCUCCGAGGACGUCAGAUGGGCCCCCGCGCAGCGCUACGCCCAGCUCCUCGCCUUCGUCAUCCGCCGCUACCUCUACGAGCGCCGCGGCCUCGCGCCCCACGCUGCCGUCCUAGUGGGUUUCUACAAGCCCGCCGCCGCGGAAGAAGGGGGGGAGGGCGAGGUCGACGGGGAUGAGGGAGAGAUGGCGUGCACCGCCGAGGUGUCGCUGGACGCGGUGGGCGCCCCGGGGGCACCGCCCACGCCAACGCCGCCGCUCGAGUUCCCUUACAUCUGCAACAUGACCGUGAAGACCUCGUUGAGGAGGAGAGGAAUUGGAAAACAACUUCUUAAGGCAUGUGAGGAUCUGGUUGUCAAGAUGGAUGCCAAAACGCGUGUAUAUCUUCAUUGUAGAAUAAUUGAUGAAGUGCCGUUCAACAUGUACAUAAAAGCAGGAUACGACAUUGUUCAGACUGACAGUAUCCUUGUUUGGCUGAGCCUCCAGAAGCGCAAGCACUUGAUGCGCAAGGAAUUACCGCAAGUUUCUGUUGGUAGUGAUGUACAACCUUAGAAUUUUGAGGGGCUGAACAUGCCAUAGCACCAUCAGAAUUGAUGUUUGAACAUCGUAACUCUGGUGGUUUCAAAAAUUGAUGAAGAAAUUAAUUAAUGUUGGAAAAACGGAGAAAUGAGGUUUGACUUUGGCAUAGUAAAAAGAAGGAAAAGAGGGACUCUCCGGGAUCUUAUGGAUUAGCAGAAGUUCCUGCAUCAUUGGUCUUCCAUGUUUUUCUUAUAUUUGUUAAGCACAGCAAGUAAUAGCUCAUUCCACAUAUCAAUUGGUCCUGGCAGGCACCAAUGCGAACAAUCACUGUAACCCCUCAUCCACUCAUUAUUCCAAUGAAUCCCUGGGUGUGCAUCAGGUCUCAUAGACAUAAGCUUGGUUAUAUCUAGGAUCUCUAUAUUCAUCCCGCCCUUUUGUUUUUUCUCCUUUUGUGCUCUGUUGGCUUCCUCAACCUGGACAUCUCUUAUUUCCCUUUCAAUUGUACUGGUCAUUGCUGUUCCUUC